AAGCGUUGUCCGGAAUCAUUGGGCGUAAAGCGCGUGUAGGCGGCCCGGUAAGUCCGCUGUGAAAGUCCAGGGCUCAACCCUGGGAUGCCGGUGGAUACUGUCGGGCUCGAGUCCGGAAGAGGAGAGUGGAAUUCCUGGUGUAGCGGUGAAAUGCGCAGAUAUCAGGAAGAACACCAAUGGCGAAGGCAGCUCGCUGGGACGUGACUGACGCUGAGACGCGAAAGCGUGGGGAGCAAACAGG
rnacentral:rRNA from 1 species